rnacentral:rRNA from 1 species
GACGUAGGGCGCGAGCGUUUGUCCGGAUUUAUUGGGCGUAAAGGGCUCGUAGGCGGUUUGUCGCGUCGGGAGUGAAAACACCGGGCUUAACUCGGUGCUUGCUUUCGAUACGGGCAGACUGGAGGUAUGCAGGGGAGAACGGAAUUCCUGGUGUAGCGGUGAAAAUGCGCAGAUAUCAGGAGGAACACCGGUGGCGAAGGCGGUUCUCUGGGCCGUAACUGACGCUGAGGAGCGAAAGCGUGGGGAGCGAACAGG